rnacentral:rRNA from 1 species
UGGGGAAUAUUGGACAAUGGGCGCAAGCCUGAUCCAGCCAUGCCGCGUGAGUGAUGAAGGCCUUCGGGUUGUAAAGCUCUUUUAGCGGGGACGAUAAUGACGGAACCCGCAGAAAAAGCCCCUGCUAACUUCGUGCCAGCAGCCGCGGUAAUACGAAGGGGGCUAGCGUUGCUCGGAAUCACUGGGCGUAAAGCGAACGUAGGUGGGUCGCUAAGUCGGGGGUGAAAUCCUGGGGCUCAACUCCAGAACUGCCUUCGAUACUGGCGAUCUUUGAGUACGGGAGAGGUGGGUGGAACUGCGGGUGUAGAGGUGAAAUUCGUAGAUAUUCGCAAGAACACCAGUGGCGAAGGCGGCUCACUGGACCGGUAAUGACACUGAGGUGCGAAAGCGUGGGGAGCAAACAGG